UACAGAGACUGCAAGCGUUAUUCGGAUUCACUGGGCGUAAAGGGUGCGCAGGCGGUUGGGUGUGUCAGAUGUGAAAUCCCCCGGCUUAACCUGGGAACUGCGUCUGAUACUGGAAGGCUUGAGUAUGGGAGAGGGAUGUAGAAUUCCAGGUGUAGCGGUGAAAUGCGUAGAUAUCUGGAGGAAUACCGGUGGCGAAGGCGGCAUCCUGGACCAUUACUGACGCUGAGGCGCGAAAGCUAGGGGAGCAAACGGG
rnacentral:rRNA from 1 species